rnacentral:rRNA from 1 species
UACGUAGGGACCAAGCGUUGUUCGGAUUUACUGGGCGUAAAGCGCGUGUAGGCUGUUCGGUAAGUCGGGUGUGAAAGCCCUGGGCUCAACCUAGGAAGUGCACUCGAAACUCCCGAACUGGAGUCCCGGAGAGGAAGGCGGAAUUCUCGGUGUAGAGGUGAAAUUCGUAGAUAUCGAGAGGAACAUCGGUGGCGAAGGCGGCCUUCUGGACGGUGACUGACGCUGAGACGCGAAAGCGUGGGGAGCAAACAGG